rnacentral:rRNA from 1 species
CCUACGGGUGGCAGCAGUGAGGAAUAUUGGUCAAUGGGCGAGAGCCUGAACCAGCCACGUCGCGUGAAGGAUGACUGUCCUACGGGUUGUAAACUCCUUUUAUAAAGGAAUAAAGUGAGGCACGUGUGCCUCUUUGUAUGUACUUUACGAACAAGGAUCGGCAAACCCCGUGCCAGCAGCCGAGGUAAUACGGAGGGUCCGAGCGUUAUCCGGAUUUAUUGGGUGUAAAGGGAGCGUAGAGGGGUUGUUAAGUCAAGUGUGAAAGGUUGCGGCUCAACCGUAAAAUUGCAAUUGAUACUGGCAGACUUGAGUACAGGUGGGGAAGGCGGAAUUCGUGGUGUAGCGGUGAAAUGCGUAGAUAUCGCGAAGAACACCGGUGGCGAAGGUAGCUUACUGAACUGCAACUGACAUUGAGGCUCGAAAGUGUGGGUAGCAAACAGGAUUAGAUACCCUAGUAGUC